AUUGAACGCUGGCGGCAUGCCUUACACAUGCAAGUCGAACGGUAACAGGUCUUCGGAUGCUGACGAGUGGCGAACGGGUGCGUAAUACAUCGGAACGUGCCCGAUCGUGGGGGAUAACGAAGCGAAAGCUUUGCUAAUACCGCAUAAGAUCUACGGAUGAAAGCAGGGGACCGCAAGGCCUUGCGCGAACGGAGCGGCCGAUGGCAGAUUAGGUAGUUGGUGGGAUAAAAGCUUACCAAGCCGACGAUCUGUAGCUGGUCUGAGAGGACGACCAGCCACACUGGGACUGAGACACGGCCCAGACUCCUACGGGAGGCAGCAGUGGGGAAUUUUGGACAAAGGGCGAAAGCCUGAUCCAGCCAUGCCGCGUGCAGGAUGAAGGCCUUCGGGUUGUAAACUGCUUUUGUACGGAACGAAAAGACUCUGGUUAAUACCUGGGGUCCAUGACGGUACCGUAAGAAUAAGCACCGGCUAACUACGUG
rnacentral:rRNA from 1 species